rnacentral:rRNA from 1 species
GCAGUCGCCGCGGGAAUACGGAGGGGGCUAGCGUUGUUCGGAAUUACUGGGCGUAAAGCGCACGUAGGCGGCUUGGUAAGUUAGAGGUGAAAGCCCGGAGCUCAACUCCGGAAUUGCCUUUAAGACUGCCGAGCUAGCAGGUGAGAGAGGUAAGUGGAAUUCCGAGUGUAGAGGUGAAAUUCGUAGAUAUUCGGAAGAACACCAGUGGCGAAGGCGGCUUACUGGCUCAUACUGGACGCUGAGGUGCGAAAGCGUGGGGAGCAAACAGGAUUAGAUACCCCAGUAGUCCCUGUCUCUUAUAC